AGUGAACGCUGGCGGUAGGCCUAACACAUGCAAGUCGAACGGCAGCACAGUAAGAGCUUGCUCUUACGGGUGGCGAGUGGCGGACGGGUGAGGAAUACAUCGGAAUCUACUUUUUCGUGGGGGAUAACGUAGGGAAACUUACGCUAAUACCGCAUACGACCUACGGGUGAAAGCAGGGGAUCUUCGGACCUUGCGCGAUUGAAUGAGCCGAUGUCGGAUUAGCUAGUUGGCGGGGUAAAGGCCCACCAAGGCGACGAUCCGUAGCUGGUCUGAGAGGAUGAUCAGCCACACUGGAACUGAGACAAGGUACAGUCUCCUACGGGAGGCAGCAGGGGGGAAUAGUGGACCAUGGGCGCAAGCCUGAUCCAGCCAUACCGCGUGGGUGAAGAAGGCCGUCGGGUUGUAAAGCCCUUUUGUUGGGAAAGAAAAGCAGCAGGUUAAUACCCCGCUGUUCUGACGGUACCCAAAGAAUAAGCACCGGCUAACUUCG
rnacentral:rRNA from 1 species